rnacentral:snRNA from 1 species
AUACUUACCUGGCAGGGGAGACACCAUGAUCAAGAAGGUGGUUCACCCAGGGUGAGGCUCAGCCAUUGCACUCCGGUUGUGCUGAGCUCUGCAAAUUCCCCAAAUGUGGGAAUCGUUUAGAGUAUUAAAC